rnacentral:rRNA from 1 species
UACGUAGGGGGCAAGCGUUGUCCGGAAUUAUUGGGCGUAAAGAGCGUGUAGGCGGCCAGAUAAGUCCGCUGUGAAAUCUCGAGGCUCAACUUCGAGCUGUCGGUGGAAACUAUCUGGCUAGAGUCCGGAAGAGGAGAAUGGAAUUCCUGGUGUAGCGGUGAAAUGCGCAGAUAUCAGGAAGAACACCCGUGGCGAAGGCGGAUCUCUGGGCCAUUACUGACGCUGAGGAGCGAAAGCGUGGGGAGCGAACAGG